CGACAUAGCGCAAUUGGUAGAGCAACUGACUUGUAAUCAGUAGGUUCUGGGUUCGAUUCCUAGUGUCGGC
rnacentral:tRNA from 1 species